GAAGGAGGACGUUUUACGACGGAAGGUUUGAAUUAAACUAAUACAACUGUACAGUGAAUGUAAAGUGGACAAUGGCAGAGGAAUCAGAUGGUUAUAUACGGGAUCAUGAGAAUUUGGAUGAAAAUGACGAAAUGUUCUGGGAGGAAAUUAGGAAAAAACAAAGCAAACUUCUAGGACACCAACAAGUAAUACCUACAGUUCAAACACAGUGAGACAGAAUAAUGAGAACCAUAUGAGAGAGAUAACACAACAGACAAAGUAGGUGGCGGUAUGCACCAAAGAGAUGUCACCCGCCAAUAAACCAACAAGAAGAAGAAGAAGAAGA